rnacentral:rRNA from 1 species
GAGCUGCUCCUAGUACGAGAGGACCGGAGUGGACGAACCUAUGGUGUACCAGUUGUGACGCCAGUCGCAUCGCUGGGUAGCUAUGUUCGGAAGGGAUAACCGCUGAAAGCAUCUAAGCGGGAAGCCAAGCUCAAGAUAAGGCAACAGUACAAGUUUACUUGUACAAAAUUUCCUAGAAGAUUACUAGGUUGAUAGGCUGCAGAUGUAAGUCCUGAGAGGGAUUCAGUCAAGCAGUACUAAUAAAUUUAUU